UUCAUCUGUGCCCUAGUACAUCUGCCGGCCAAUUUCUCCUUUGUUCUAGUAUCGGUGAUUGUACCUCCUUCCCUCUCUUGGCGGACGACUAGAGUCGUCGUAAAACAGGAGCUUAAGAAGGAGGCUGAGGGAAACAGUAGUCCGGCAAUGGGAUUGAAGCUUCGGACAUAACUUCCAGCAGCAAGAUCUGUGGUUGUGAGUUGGCAGGAAGAUACUUAGAGUGAGUGAAGAAUUUCAGCAGCCAACAACCCUUGACGGCAGUAACUUCAGCCAACAACUCUUUGAUUCCAGUACAAACCCGUGGCUGUGAAUUUAGGU